rnacentral:lncRNA from 1 species
CAGAUCUCCUAGUGCAGCCGUGGACGAGCCCCUACAGGAGCAGCCUCGGCUGGAACUGCACCCCGUGUGGAGGAGCCCUGUCAGGGCAAGAGGGCUGGGGGAACUGCUGCUUGUGGAGCAGUGUGCUCCUGAAGGUGGGCUUUGUGAAAGGGGAGCCAUGUCAGAGCACUGCUUGAUGAGCUGCGCCCUUGGGAAGCUGACACAGCUAACAAGUUAUCUUUUGGACUCGAGGGGAAAUUAAAACAAACAAACAAAAAACCCCACAAAACAGUAUGUAUGACAUUCAGCUGUUACAAUUAACAUAUAUAUUUCCAUUAUUCUUUUCUUGUCCUUUCUAUGGCCCUCAGUCCUUUAAUAACCAGAAGAAAAAUACUCUAUCAUGUUAAAAUUAGAAAUGAACUUUUGAACCUUCAGUGCUGAAAAUUAAUAAAACAGCUCUGUCCUCUUUCACUGACGCAAUAAAUGAUAUAAUGCCAGUAAGAAGAAAUUGUAUAGCAGAACGAUUUUGAGUUAGAGGGAUUGCACUGCUCCAGCAAACACACCGUAGUUAGAGUAAUCCUAUUAAGAAGAAAUAUGAAUGAAGACAUUUGUUAAACCAAUAUACAUGUGGGAAGAUGAAAUAACCCUGUAUUGGUUUCAAAGCAUAGCCUUAUUUUGAAUUUAAUCAUGCUGUUACCUCUUUGGAAUGUAUCCAGUUCUGUUCUUAAUAUGUUAAUUAGAAUUCUCUUCCCCUAAGGUAACUUGAAAACUGCUUCUGUGUUAAAGUUUCCUUCUGUGUGUGUAUGUGUGUGUGUGUGUAUAUAUAUAUAUAUAUAUUACAUGUAGUGUGUGUGCGUAUAUAUGUUUGUAUGUGUAAUACAUAUUAGGACCUGAGGUAAUGGCAUGGAGCUAUUUCAGGGGAGGGUCAGGUUGGUGAUUAGGAAGAGGUUCUUCACCAGAGGUUGGUUGGGCACUGGAAGAGGCUCCCCAGGGCAGUGGUCACAGCCUUAAGCUGCCAGAGUUCAGGAAGUGUUUUGACAGUGCUCUCAAACAUAGGCUUUGAAUUUUGUGUGAUUCUGUAUGGAGCUAGGAGUUGGACUCAGUGAUUCAUGUGGGUCCCUUCCAACUUGAUAGUAUUCUGGAAUUCUGUGAUUCUUUGUUGAACUACAUCUAUGUAUAUGGGUUGCUCAACCGGAGAGUUUGGUUGGUUUAUUUAAUUCUGCAUCCAUUCAGGCCUAUUCUAGAUUAACUGAAAACUAACAUUCUUCUAAAUUGAG